CAGUAGCCGCGGGAAUACGAAGGGUGCAAGCGUUACUCGGAAUUACUGGGCGUAAAGCGUGCGUAGGUGGUGGUUUAAGUCCGUUGUGAAAGCCCUGGGCUCAACCUGGGAAUUGCAGCGGAUACUGGAUCACUAGAGUGUGGUAGAGGAUAGUGGAAUUUCCGGUGUAGCAGUGAAAUGCGUAGAGAUCGGAAGGAACAUCUGUGGCGAAGGCGACUAUCUGGGCCAACACUGACACUGAGGCACGAAAGCGUGGGGAGCAAACAGGAUUAGAUACCCCUGUAGUCCCUGUCUCUUAUAC
rnacentral:rRNA from 1 species